UCGAAAUACAAAACUGGUUCUAACCGGUUUCGUUCUUAUAUUUCGGCGUAUAAACUACAAAAACAUUCUUUUGCAUUAUACAUUCGCCAUUUUACUCGGUGAGUGGUCGGUUGUCGUCUGUUAUCUCUCCGAAAUAAAAGCCCGUUUUGCGCUUACAUUUUUGUAAGCUUUCUGGUCAUUUCCUGUCAACAACAUGGGUAAAGCAAAGAAAACCGCCGUCCCCACUGAGGAAAGAAGAAUUUCCCAGCGACUGAAAAAGAAAAUUAGCGAACUACCAGUGGAGAAGAAAAAGGUUGCUGCAAAAAAGGCACCCAAAGCAAAGAAGCCCAAACAAGCUGAAAAUGGGAGCGCCAAGGCUGAGGAGCCAAAGGCCGAAGCCGCCGAAGCCAAAUGAAUAACGGUUCAUGUGCUCACUCUGUGUACUUGGUGAUUGUACAGUUUUAAAUAAGUAUUUUUUACCAAGUUUUAUAUUACAAAUGUCAUUUAUAGGUUUGUUUUGGGCUUGCACUUGAUGUAACCGAAGUUUGUUGUCACAUUCAUAUCCAUUUAAAAAUGAAAACCAUCCAUAUUCUGUUUGUUUUUAAACUGCUGAGUAAUAGAUAUUUUCAACAAGUUGGAUUUUGAAUCUAAUUUUAAAAGUGAUAAGGCAGCUAAAGCAUAUUGUUAAAAUUUGAGGGAGAAUAGGAAUUUUGCCUUUCAUCCCCUCGUAUUUUAAUGUUGAACUAAUAAAAAAUUGCUUACCAAAUGCUUUGAAACACUGUAUGUUGACAUGAGAUCCAGUCAUUGAAAAGGCCACAGAAGAAUACUGUUAUUAGGUCAAAAGUUUCAUACAUCCCAAAAAGGUAUGAUGUGAACCUGGUCAUCUGAUGAAAAGUUAAAUUAUGUUUCUGUUUGGGGGAAAGGAAGCUUUUCUGACUUCAAUGGUUGAUCUAAAUGUUCUUGAAUAAAAAUUUUCAAAAUGU